rnacentral:rRNA from 1 species
GACGAACGCUGGCGGCGUGCCUAAUACAUGCAAGUCGAGCGAAGUUUUUCUGGUGCUUGCACCUGAAAGACUUAGCGGCGCACGGGUGAGUAACACGUAAAGAACCUGCCUCAUAGACGGGUACAACUAGUGGAAACGAUCUCUAAUACCGGAUAAUAUCAUUAACUGCAUGUUUGUUGUUUAAGAUUUGUUUUUUCUAACACUAUGAUGUACCUUUGCGGUGCAUUAGCUAGUUGGUGGGGUAAAGGCCUACCAAGGCGACGAUGCAUAGCCGACCUGAGAGGGUGAUCGGCCACACUGGAACUGAGACACGGUCCAGACUCCUACGGGAGGCAGCAGUAGGGAAUCUUCCGCAAUGGGCGAAAGCCUGACGGAGCAACGCCGCGUGAGUGAAGAAGGACUUCGGUUCGUAAAGCUCUGUUGUUAGGGAAGAAUGUUUGUGUAGGAAAUAUACACAGUAGUGACGGUACCUAAUCAGAAAGCCACGGCUAACUACGUG